rnacentral:tRNA from 1 species
GAGAGGUAAAAAAAGACCUGCUAAAUCUUUAAUCUGAAGUAAUUAUCAGCCCUCUCU